UAUAUUUGCGCCUCUGUUUAUAACAGAUAUAAAUUAUACAUAAUAAUUAUUUAAAACAAUGUUUGAAUG
rnacentral:ncRNA from 1 species